UACGUAGGGGGCAAGCGUUGUCCGGAUUCAUUGGGCGUAAAGAGCUCGUAGGCGGCCACUCAAGUCGAAUGUGAAACCUCGAGGCUUAACCUCGAGCCUGCAUUUGAUACUGGGCGGCUAGAGUCUGGUAGGGGGAUCUGGAAUUCCUGGUGUAGCGGUGGAAUGCGCAGAUAUCAGGAGGAACACCGGUGGCGAAGGCGGGAUCCUGGGCCAGUACUGACGCUGAGGAGCGAAAGCGUGGGGAGCAAACAGG
rnacentral:rRNA from 1 species